rnacentral:misc_RNA from 1 species
GAGAUCAUCAUCAAUGGACAAGAUUUUGAAUAGGCUGACAAUGGCUCAGAUCAAAGCUCAGGAAAUGAGAGGCUCAAUUUCAGACACUCAGGGCCAUCAAAUUGCCAAGAUACCCCACAAGGUUUCGUUCUUUCAUAGGCAUGCAAGGUUGAGUUUCUUGAGAAGUUGCUUCAACUGUCGUACUUCCUAGUUGUUCCCAGCCUGUCCCGUUGGUGCAAGGUAGCUCUCAUCCAGGUGAUUCUGAGUUCAAAUUUUGCAAAAGCGUGCUGCUGGUUCUAGGCCACAUUCUUUUUUAUGUAGAAAUUUGUAUCAUUACAUUACUGAACGGAUCACCUUGUAAAUCGUGCAAUUAAGCAGUUUGCUUGGGUACAUAAAGCACCACCUAAGUUU